GAUGAACGCUGGCUACAGGCUUAACACAUGCAAGUCGAGGGGAAACGACGGGGAAGCUUGCUUCCCCGGGCGUCGACCGGCGCACGGGUGAGUAACGCGUAUCCAACCUGCCCCUGACUGAGGGAUAACCCGUCGAAAGUCGGCCUAAUACCUCAUGGUAUCGUCUGCGGGCAUCCAACGACGAUUAAAGAUUUCAUCGGUCAGGGAUGGGGAUGCGUCUGAUUAGCUUGUUGGCGGGGUAACGGCCCACCAAGGCUACGAUCAGUAGGGGUUCUGAGAGGAAGGUCCCCCACAUUGGAACUGAGACACGGUCCAAACUCCUACGGGAGGCAGCAGUGAGGAAUAUUGGUCAAUGGGCGAGAGCCUGAACCAGCCAAGUAGCGUGCAGGAAGACGGCCCUAUGGGUUGUAAACUGCUUUUAUGCGGGGAUAAAGUGAGGGACGUGUCCCUCAUUGCAGGUACCGCAUGAAUAAGGACCGGCUAAUUCCGUG
rnacentral:rRNA from 1 species